GUGGAAACUGCAGCUCCAGCUUCAGUUUUGCCCACAAACACACAGAAGACAGGACAGGGAAGGAGUCACAGCACAUGUGCCUGCAAGGAGAAAGAAGGGCAAGAGAACACCUCCUCUCCACCCACCAAGAGGGGAUAUGGGUUCAUCCCCAGAUGAAUCAGACCAUGAAGCCAUUUCUGAGCUAAAAAUCUCCAUGUUAUUGCUUCUCCCAGCUAUCCUCCCCCCUGUGUCCCCUCACCAUGACAGAUUUCAGCUCCCUCCUUCCCGUGGAAAAUACAGCUUUCAUCUAUCUGCAUAGUUGAGGAACAAAACUGUAAAUCCCCAUAUAGCACACAUCAUGUAACACACACUGCCACUUCCAUCACUGCUUACAAAGAUCUCUUGUGCUUUGGAUGGUGGUUGUAACAGGACCUUCCUUGUGAUAUAUGUGACACUGUCACAUCCUGCCUUUUCUUCUCCAAAAUUAAUUUCCCUCUCAGAAGCAAACUCAUCUGUUCUCAACACCCCUUGCUCCAGUGACACUGGACUGACUCAUCCUCAUCAGCAGAGAAUGGCACAGAGCUUUUGCAAGGAGACUAUGGGUGAAACCCUCAAGGGCAAAUAGCAUCAGCAGUGAAGCUGUGCUUGCAAAACCAUCUGCUUCCACCUUGCUCUGCUUUUUCCCCUCUCCAUCCCCUCACGGCUGGCUGCCUUCCUGUCUUGAGCCCCUCCGGCUGUUUGUUGCAGGGCAGCAGACCCUGUUCAUGGGGGAUCAUGACCCUCUGGGCUCCUUCCUCCUCUGCUCAGGGACACGUAGGAAGGAGGGAGGAGCAACCAGGAAACAUGGCCACGACCUCAGACAAUUUUAUGAACCAAAAGAACUCAAUCUCUCAUUUUCUCCACACUCUUUGCAUUAGGGUAAGGUUUACCUCUGACCCAUGUCAACGUCACCAAGAAUAUACCAUCUUUCCCAAGGCAUCCCCUUUUUCUCCCACUCUUUUCUGCUGCUCCCUUCUCACCCUGCUUGUCCUGAACCCACCUAUCCUCUUUCUGGCAUUUUCUUCCACCUCUGCUCAGCUUUUGUUUGAAAUGUUGAACACAACCACACACAUCACAGGAGGAGCGAAAGAGAACUGCCUGUGUGAGGUGGUUUCAUGUUGGAAAAAGGGAAGAUGAGAAGGGGAAGGGAAUGCAGAGCUCCCAGCCUGGAAGCGGCUCGGCAGAAUUCAGGUGGGCGCAGCAGAAACGCAAGUGAGGGCCUCCGGGAGCUGCCAGCGUGGGGCAGAUGGAGGCAGGAAGGGCAUUCCCUGCUGACUCAGGCCUGCCACCAGCACUGAUGAGCCCCACACCUCUGAUGAGUGCUGCACACCCCGGGUUUCGCUCAGGCCAGUGGCAGGGCGGAAAGACACCGCCAGCCCACGCUGUCACCUCCCCGAUGGCUCAAGGAGUGCUUGCAAAAGUCAGCCUCUGACAUCCCAGCCAGCAGCCCAUGGGAGCACAGAGGGAGAGAAAAGCAAAGCUCAGGCUGCUUUGCACAGAAUGCUGAGGGGUUUCGCUGAGCCGGCUGUCUGCAGACACCUCCACCAGCAUGGGUUGGUUUGGUCACUAAGGAAAGCAGGGCAGGGGCUGGCAGUGGGAGCACAGUACUGUUCCAUGUCUCCAUGGCCUGGAGUUCCUGCAGAUGUCAUGGGGACUCCUGACAAAUGUGCACAAAAGCGGCUCAGGGAGCAGGCGAGCAGGGACUUGCUUUACAUCCCUGGGACUCCCCCAUGAUACAGAUGCUGCGGGUUUUACCCCCACACAGCUCAUCACCCCUUUAUUUUAAGCAGUUCACCUAGAGGCCAAGCAGCCAGGAGGAAGUAAUCUCUAAAACCACAAGAGAAACCUCCCACCAGGGGUGUGUACAAGAGCUGGAUGGGGAGGGGGAAAUAUUUGCAUUUACCUCAUCAAAAUCUCCAUAUAAAUGGGCUGAGAAGCGUCGGGCUUUCUCAGCUCCCAGGUGCAUGAAGCAGGGACAUCCAAGAGGAUGAUGGCAGCUCACUUCUUGCUGCAGUUCCUCCUCUUCGGGACUCUACUCGUCCCUGUGUACCUGCAGAUGGAAGGAUGUGAUUUUCUCCAGGAUGCAGUCAAGGGCAAUUUCUCAGUGACUGUGACACCUGAGGAGUACGUGGCCAACACAACCUACCAGGUUACAAUAAGAGAUGACGGAAACAGCACCACCAUCAGAAAUGUGACCAUGUAUUUACUUCAAGCCUUGUCCUCUGAAAAUACCACUGCAGGAGAAUGGAAUGUAGUAGAAAAACUAAACUGCAGUAAUGUUGCGACAGCAAUGCUAAAUACCACUCAGGAAGAAGCAGCAGCAAACUGGACAUCUCCAAACAGUAACAUAUCUUCCGUGGAAAUAAGGGCAUAUAUCAUCUAUGAAAACAAUAUCACUGAGUUCAAGACGGCGAUUCUGCAGGAAGUUCCACGAACAGAUCCAACCACAGCCUCGACAACCCCUGACUCCGUCUCCGCAGUCCAGAGCAGCUGCUUCUUCAUCGCCGUCACUCAGCUGCUGAUGCUCCUCACUACAAGCAAACUGCUCUCCUAGGAGAUGGGGAGAGGAGAUGACCCAGCUGUGGUGCUCCUCUCCUCACCCACGGCACAGGUGGGAGGGCAGGCAGCUGAUCUACUCAGGAAAAUCACUCACUUCUUAUGCGUAUCAAGAUGAUAACUGCACUUCUACAUUAGAUUAUAAGGGUCUAUGGCCACAGAGCUGAUCUCCCCUUACUCCCCUCAACCAGGGCCAGCACACACAGCAAGAUUAGCAAGUCAGAGAUCACUCUGGUCAGAACAGCUGGAGAAGGUGAUUUAGGAGCAGACCCCUUCUAACCAGGGGCACCAGAUGGGUUAAUCCUUUCCUCAACACCUGGGGUCCUGUGAAGCACAAAAAGAAAAGCAUGAAAAUGUUCAAGAGAGGGGAAAGGCCCCUCCCCAUCCCAGUACUGGUGUGUGCUGAGGAGCUGAAGGAGAGGUCUGUGAGCCACAGCCAGGGCAGAGCUAUACUGUGUCCUGCAAAGCUCCCUUGGUUUGGUUCUGGCUCUCUGGAAUGGUGGAGUGGGUGGGUUUUUUUCCUCCUUUUUUUGUUUGUUUGGGUUUUUUUUUGUUUUUAAUCAGCAGCAGUUCCUGCUGUGGGAUGAGAUUGGAUGGGCCCCUGAAUGUCUUGAUUUUAUUAUUAUUGUUUGUAUUUUUAUACGGAUGGAGUUUAUGAAGGAAAUUUCAAACUUCUGGAAAGUAAUUACUAUUAUUAUUUUUUUUUUUCUGAAGCGAAUCUAAAUAAACCAAAGAAUGAAAGCUGGCUGUCGCACUGAGCAGUGUUUUCUGGCUGGGACGCGGCUGGGCUCCGGCCCUGACCAGCACAGUCUGCCCCUGCAGCUCAUGGCCAUGUUUAAGGGGAAUUUGCUUUCACCUGUCCUUGAACCCAGGGCACAGCCCUCAGCCCUGCGGGCUCCAGAGCCUGGCUGCCUCCCCAUGGUGUGCCCCUCUGCUCCCCACUGAGGCUCACAUUGCUCUGAAGCGGACAUAUCUCACUCGAGUCCACUUUUGUUCAGAUUUUGUCUCAAAAAGCCGUGAUUUGCCUCAAAGAAGAGAUAUUUCUCCCUCUCACAGCUGGGCUUUGCAAGGCGGUAGUGAAGCCCUGCUGAUUUCCACUUAUUCCCACCCCUGGAGGGCUAUGGGAUGGCUGCUUUGUAAAGUCAGCAGUCCCAAACACAAAAUUAAGCACAGUAUUAUGAAUGGUAUUUCCACUGCAUCACGUAUGGAGUGAUCAACACAGCUGUGGAAUGUUUCACAGAAUAUCACUGAAAUACACUUGCAUGGCCCAGCUAUUACAGUUGCCUUCUGUUUUGCAGGCAGGUUAAUUAGCAGCUCCCGAGCAACCAGAAUAAUGUCACCAUUCACUACAGCAGCACACUGCACUCGGUAAAAUCCUACUUAGUGCAGUAGACUGCCUUUCUACUCUAAUCUUCCUGUCAAUAUGAUUAUCUGGUCAGAUAACAGCUCACAUAAUAGGUAUCAAAUCCCCUCCAGGUAACCUUGCAGCAACACCCUGUUACCAGGCUUAGGGUGGAGAGCAGGCUGGGAUGCUGAGCACUAGGUUGCACCAUUCCCUAUGUGCAGAGAAUGAGGAACCCCCCCCCCCCUCCAUGCUUACAACAGCCCUUUUUCUCACAAAAUGGCCCCAGCUCCCUGUCCUGGCUCUUCUGCUGGUUAAGCAUUACCAGAAUGGCUGCAGCUGUGAGCAACAAAGCUCUGCAGCAGUUCCCCACCCUUCCCCUGAUUGCUGCACCUUCAUGCCACCCAGGGAAGCUCAGUGCUUUGUGGAAAUCAGAACAACCCCAAUUUCUUGGAGUGCAGACUUAACCUUUUACUGCUAUUUCUCACCCUCGAUACAGAAGGAAGUGCAUCACUCGUUCUGAGAGCAGAUUAAACAUCAGGAUUAAACAUUAACCUUCCUUGCUCCAUUUCCACCCCUGCAGAACAAGGGGCAGCUCCAGCCCUGCUCCCUGCUGCCCCAUCUCUCGCAGC
ensembl:lncRNA